rnacentral:lncRNA from 1 species
CCUACAGAUCUGGUACCUGGAUUUUUGCCCAUGGUGAUGGAUUCUGCCACCUCAGUGCUGAAGAAGACAUCAUUCCAGUGGACCACUGUGAUCUAGGAGGCGUAUCCAGCGAAUCAUGAUGUGGCCUUCACCUCCACUCCUGUCCUGUUCUACCCAGAUUCAACACAGCCUUUUGUAGUGAAGUUCAACUUCUCAAGCCAAAUAGCUGAAGCUGUUUUAUCACAACAAAGGUUCAGCUUGUUCCAUAAGUGUGCAUUUCAUUUCUCCAGUUAAAGCUUUCAGAGACACAUAAUAAAUUUGGACCAGGGGAUUUUUAGUUAUCAGCACUGUCUGAAGAAUGGCAGCAUCUUUUUGAGAACCAUAUCGGACCACACCCCACUGUCUCAAAUGAUUGAAAUUCAGGAAUUGUCUAAUCUGGACCCCAUUCUUUUUCCAUUUCAAAUCUGUAGUAGCCUACUGAAUGAGCAAGCAGAUAUUCUGACCCGUUGGGAUCAAAACAAAGGCACAGUGAACUCACAGCAUCUUCUUUGGGAUUACUCAGGAACCAGAACUUUUCACACAAAUGUAAGAAAUUCUACCAAGGAAUCCCUUUACCUAACAGCAUCUCAUAAAGCUCCAAUCAGAUUCCAGAAAAGGCCUCUUGAUACAUCCAGCAUUUUGUGAACCAACUUACUCUUAGAUCAUUGGUUUUCCAAAGGCUUUGUGGCCAUGAAGCACUUUGAAUGAAAACUUUAUGGAAGCCCAGAGUAAAAGUGAAGCUGCUCUGGAGGAAGCAGAAGUGGGGGGCCUGAAACCUGCCACAAGCAUCUUACUUUACCAUCAUGGUGACACCUAAGGAGACUUCCUUACAACAACUAGAAAUCUUCAGAACACAGUUUGGAAACCACUGCCCUAGACAACAGUACGACCUGAAUGGCAUUCUGUUCUGUACCUCUACCCAACACGUCGGUGUUCAGUUGAUAAUGAGCAUUCUUAGGAAUACUCAGAGAGUGCAAGAAGAUGGACAUAUCUUUGCCCCCAAGAUUAGUCAUAUGGGCUGAAGGUAAUAUCAAAGAGACCUAGAAUAAUAGCCCUCUAACCACAAAUAGACUUCCAGUGAUUCCUGAAUGAUACAGCCACAGAGCAAUUUGUACGUUACACUGACAAACCCCCUUAUUCAACUUCUUCCACAAACACCGGAUGCUCUAGUGGCACUUAAGAUGCAUGACUUUGAAGUCUUGAUCCUCCUUGAAUACAGUGAACACCAAGUAUUGAAGCUGAUGUUAAAGUCGAUGCCUCAUUGAGGCAGUAUUAGACCAGUUGUACAUUGGACCUCCCAUUCUCAGCUAUGGUACUCUACUUCGUGUGCAAGGGAUAACCAUAAACUGUGAAAGCAGAAUUCAGAGACUGGCAACAUUACCGAAAAGGGCACCUGAUGAUGAUUCUUCUUCUCAAACUACGUCACUAUCACUCAGCCGUUGGCAGUUACACUACUGCUUGGUUUUUAUUCCGUUUAACUGCUGUUUCCAGAAUAAAGAAGCAAAUAACCUCUGAAAAACUGCUAAA